UCAUGUCUCUUGCUUCCACCCUGGAGCCUGGGGUAAUUACCAUGGAAGCGAUGACCAGUGCCUGUGAUUUUUGUCAGCUCUACCUCAUGAAUGAGAGACUGCUUAUUUCAAACUUAGAGUUGUUGGAUACCUGAGGACAGGGGUGUACCUCGGUGGAAGCCCCUUUGGAAUGAAAUUUUAUCCCCAUUUGAAGGACACCGGGUCUUCCGGUGAUGGCUGUAUCUGCAGAUCUCUGAGGUGGACAGUGGCCCCGCGGAAGGAGAUAUUCCCCCCUCCUGGACCUGGGCACACUCCCAUGGGACUAACCUGAGCAAUACCCAGCAGGCAGCAGCAGCAUGGGCAACUCUUGGUGUCUAACAGUCUUGCCGCGGAGCCUUCACGUUUCCCCUUGUUUCCUUAAAAGGAACCAUCUGCGCUGUGCUACGACGGACAUGUUUUCCAGCGUGGACUUUGUUCAGGAGAUCUAGAUUUCACAUUUGCUCAAUGGUAGCGUGAGGGAGGAGCCUGUGCUGAGGACUUAAACCACUGGGGACCAGCAUCUUGGAAAGAAGCCUGAAGGUAGCAACUCAGGUAACCUGGGAGUGUUUGACAGUCACUCGGGGGAGGCACUCCAGUAGAUUUGUGCUGGUGGCUGUUUAUGGUUUUAAAACUGCAUUGGUGGCGGUGGGGACGUCUUUAGCAAACUUCCUUGUGGUGAGAACUUUGUUUUCUUGUGGUGGUGGCUUAAAGGGAGCAAUGAGGAUGUUUCUGUUGGAGAGAGAGAGAGAGAGAGAGAGAGAGAGAGAGAGAGAGACCUGGACAAAGGAAGACAUUUUCCUGGGGAUCUGAUUUUUUUCUAUAUUUUUUUUUCUAUGACCUUAAGUAGUACAAUAUUUGUAUCUGAACUGAAGAAUGAGUUUGUUAUUUGACUCUGGACAUCAAGCUCUGGUCUGUUGCCUUGGAAACUUUGAAAUGCAUGAGAGAUGAGAUUCACAAGGAAUCUUCAAAACUCUGGUAUUCAGAAACCUUUCACGCAUAAGCUGGUCUCCAUAAUUGUAUGGAUUUGGAAGUUGCUUCAUGCUUCAAUUCUACCGGAGCUCAGCUGCCCCAGCUCCUAGAGCGUGCUAAAGGCUCUAAGAGGUGGCAUUUAUGCCCGUUUUGUCUAUUCUUCCUUCUCCAUACAAACUUCUAUUCUUGCUUUCACAUUUAUUCUACAAAGCUCAGUUGGGGAACUGCUGGACAGGACGGAGCAUUGGCCCUGGGCGGGCCUGGCCAAGGGCAUGCUUCAAGUUGGAAGAGGGCAUAUAACUUACCCAAAGUUCAGGGGACUGGGUCUUCCCUUUCCUCUCCAUUCCAGAAUCUCUGAAAUGUAAAGGUUCUUGGUAGGGUUGGUAGAUAGGUGAGGGUUGAUGUGGGAAGAGCCCAGAUCUACAGUGAAUAUUCUAGAAGGUUAUCUGGCUUCUUGAGCAUCUCUAAGAGAGAGUGCGUGUGUAGGGGGAGCUGGAUCUUUCUUUGAAUGCUAACUUAGAUCUCUGUGUUAAGAAGGUUGAUCCUCUUCUACUCCAAGCUCCCGGAGCCUUUGGCCGUAGCGGCUUGCUACUCUGCUGGUGGCCGAGUGGGGCUCUAACACCCGCUGGUCCUCAGUCUCUCUUUCCACCACGGCUUAUGCACUGUGUCCGUCCUUUAUAGACAGCGGCCUUCUCUCUCCAGUUACUCUCGGGAUUCUGUUUUUUUGUCUUUACCUUUCUGAGCCCUGAUUAUGGUGUGCCCUUUGGAUGGCCCUGGCUGGCUGACAUUCUCCUCUAGUGUGCUGAGGAGACGUGGAUCUUAAGUAGGUGUGGCAUUUCCCUUUGCACCUGGCCCCAGGCUCUGGUCCCUGUGGGUCACAUCUGACUCGCUUGCUAGCCUUCUUACCCAGGGAGGGGCUCUCUUCUGCGUUGGGAAAGGCUCACUGAAGUUUACACCAGAGAUGCAAUCUGGGUUCAUGUGGGUCAGACUGGGUUACCAGUCAGUGAGCAGGAUGUGCCCGGCUCCCUGACGGUCACCACAGGUCCCUCUCAGCACUGGAGGCUGUCAAAGUUGCGCUGAUGUCGUCCAUUGCUCCACUCGGAAGGCUGUCAGCUUCAACUCAAGCCUACCUCCCUCACCACGGUAGUGAAGGCCUUCACCGGUCGUGCUUGAUCCAGCGGCUCAGAAUGACCUCCUCUCUCAUUCUUUACUCUUGUUUAACUUUCAUUUAUGUAUUCAUCAAUUAUGUAUUUGCAGUAGCAUCCCCUCUCCUUCUCAUUCCUGCUUCCCACCUGUAAUUUUCUGGAUCCUCCUGUCUUUUCCCUUCCUCUCCUAUGCCAUCUAUUGAUUUGAUCAUAUCUAUCUACAGUAUCCUGUCCAUCUGUCCAUCCCAUCCUUUCCUAGCCUGUUCCACUGACCCCAUCCCAUCCACACAUCCCACCCCCUGUUAUCCCCACCUCCACUCAGUUGCAGCUGAGGAAAGCACCCUCCUUCAAACCCUUUUCCUGUGGCUGUAGGACACCCCAUAUGGAGUGUGGGGAGAAAGGAGAACAGGUGUAUCCCACAUACCCCAUAGAAGAAAGCUUCAUAGACCAGGCUCUGAGGGUAGGGGGUUGUGGUUAGGGGGCAAGAGUGAGAUUUUGGGGACCAUAAACAGCAAGGUCAGUUUGGAGGUCAUGCCACUUGCCUCUGUCUGUCUCUGCCUGUGGAAGUGAGGAAGGUCAGCCAUCCUCUCUGACCAUGGAGGUCGCCUAGUGUCUGAGGCUCUUAGUUAUGAGUGACAGUUUGGAAGCCUAAGGAAGGCCCAGGGCUUCAUCAUAAACCACAGAGUAAAAUCAGGGGUGAUAUAGAUAUGAAUAAUUUGCAUUGGUAUAAAUCUUGAUUUAUUGAUACAAGUUUAAGGU